rnacentral:rRNA from 1 species
CUAUGCGCCUUGCCAGCCCGCUCAGGUGUGCCAGCCGCCGCGGUAAUACGUAGGGAGCAAGCGUUAUCAGGAAUUAUUGGGUGUAAAGGGUGCGUAGACGGGACAGCAAGUUAGUUGUGAAAGCCCUCGGCUUAACUGAGGAACUGCAACUAAAACUAUUGUUCUUGAGUGCAGGAGAGGAGAGUGGAAUUCCAUGUGUAGCGGUGAAAUGCGUAGAUAUAUGGAGGAACACCGGUGGCGAAAGCGGCUCUCUGGCCUGUAACUGACACUGAGGCUCGAAAGCGUGGGGAGCAAACAGG